GACGAACGCUGGCGGCGCGCCUAAUACAUGCAAGUCGAGCGAGAAGACGUAGCAAUACGCUUGUAAAGCGGCGAACGGGUGAGGAAUACAUGGGUAACCUACCCUCGAGUGGGGAAUAACUAACCGAAAGGUUAGCUAAUACCGCGUACGCUCCUUGGACUUCGGUUCAGGGAGGAAAGCGAUACCGUGGGUAUCGCGCUCUUGGAUGGGCUCAUGUCCUAUCAGCUUGUUGGUGAGGUAACGGCUCACCAAGGCUUCGACGGGUAGCUGGUCUGAGAGGGCGAUCAGCCACACUGGCACUGCGACACGGGCCAGACUCCUACGGGAGGCAGCAGUAAGGAAUAUUGCGCAAUGGGCGAAAGCCUGACGCAGCGACGCCGCGUGGGGGAUGAAGGUCUUCGGAUUGUAAACCCCUUUCGGGAGGGAAGAUGGAACGAGCAAUCGUUCGGACGGUACCUCCAGAAGCAGCCACGGCUAACUUCGUGCCAGCAGCCGCCGCCG
rnacentral:rRNA from 1 species